rnacentral:rRNA from 1 species
CCUACGGGAGGCAGCAGUAAGGAAUAUUGGUCAAUGGGCGCAAGCCUGAACCAGCCAUGCCGCGUGCAGGAAGACGGCCCUAUGGGUUGUAAACUGCUUUUGAACAAGAGAAAACCUCGGUACGUGUACCGAGCUGAUAGUAUUGUUAGAAUAAGCAUCGGCUAACUUCGUGCCAGCAGCCGCGGUAAGACGAAGGAUGCAAGCGUUAUCCGGAUUCAUUGGGUUUAAAAGGGUGCGUAGGCGGCCUGAUAAGUCAGUGGUGAAAUCUCUCAGCUUAAACUGAGAAACUGCCAUUGAUACUGUCGGGCUUGAGUACAGAUGAUGUGGGCGGAAUAUGACAUGUAGUGGUGAAAUACUUAGAUAUGUCAUAGAACACCGAUUGCGAAGGCAGCUCACAAAACUGUAACUGACGCUGAGGCACGAAAAGUGCGGGGGAUCAAACAGGAUUAGAUACCCUGGUAGUCCGCACCGUAAACGAUGAUUACUCGUUGUUGGCAAUAUGACCGUCAGCGACCAAGCGAAAAGCGAUAAAGACUCCACCCUGGGGAGUACGCCGGCAACGGUGAAACUCAAAGGAAAUUGACGGCNGAGAGNGCGACGACGACACGAGGGAGGAGGAG